rnacentral:tRNA from 1 species
GCCGGGGUGGCGAAAUCGGCUAUACGCGCCUGACUUAAAAUCAGGUGUCCCCUUCGCGGGGCGUGCGGGUUCGACUCCCGCCCCCGGCA